UACGGAGGGUGCAAGCGUUAUCCGGAUUCACUGGGUUUAAAGGGUGCGUAGGCGGGCAGGUAAGUCCGUGGUGAAAUCUCCAAGCUUAACUUGGAAACUGCCGUGGAUACUAUUUGUCUUGAAUAUAGUGGAGGUGAGCGGAAUAUGUCAUGUAGCGGUGAAAUGCUUAGAUAUGACAUAGAACACCCAUUGCGAAGGCAGCUCGCUACACUAUUAUUGACGCUGAGGCACGAAAGCGUGGGGAGCGAACCGG
rnacentral:rRNA from 1 species